UUCCUCGAUGCUGCUGUUCUGUCUUUGUCGGUAAAGAAAUGGUGAAAAGAUUUGCUGGAUUAAAAUGAAGGCUGUUAGAAUAAGACUAAGAAUACGCUUUGACAGCCAGGAAUCAAAUGGACCAUUCAACGCAAACGGAAGAAAUUUGGGCAAACAAGAGGCAAAAGAUGGAUUCCUGUCAAAACGAAUCUCUGACAAACUGAGCGGCACUAACCUCAAGGGAAAUACUUGAACGUUAUUAUGGUGCCAUUAUCUCUGGAAGUGGUUGAAGCCAAUAAUAAGAAGCCAUGAUGUCCUGGAUCCACGGAUCAUUGUGUAACUCUUGUUUUAUAAGGUCGAAAGAAGUUAAUCGUGCUAUGAAGCGACAAAGAAGCUGUCAAGCAAACAACCUGCGGCGAAAAAAGUUCUGUCCGUGCAAGACGUUAAAUGAAUAAAGUUGACGUUUGAACAGUUCGAUUGGUAGCGAAAGAGGCAAUGCUUUCUUAGUUACCUCAAAACAUGUGCUUUGGACCUUUUGGCAAUGGAAAUAACUGCGCUUUUGAAAGAGGCUUCCAUGUUGAAAAAAAAAAAAACUAAGUCUUUUGGCGGGAAAAUUUACUGCGCUAUUGAAAGGAGCUUUCAUGGCGAAAAAAAAAAACUAAGUCUUUUGGCAGGAAAAAAGGCUGCGAUUUUGAAUGGAGUCUAGUAUUGAGUCAUGAAUAAACUAAGUCUUUUGGCGGGAAAAAUCUCUGCGUCAGCAGCAGAUUUCUCCCAUCAAAAGAUGGUGUUUAUUGCGAUUUUAUACUAGACCCCAUUUAAUUUUGCAGAAAUUUUUCCCGGCAUCGGCAACCUUACAUAGUCAAAAAAUAGUAAAAGAGAUAGCCUACAUUCCGACUAGUUUCCAGGCCCCUUUCGGAAGCGCAGAUUUUUUUUAUUCUUUCUCAUUUAAAUAAAGCUAGACUCAUUUAUUGAUUACAAGUGUUUGUUUAUUUCAACUAUUAAACACAAGUAUUGUACUACAAUGUUGUACGUGUUAAUUAACUAUAUUUCUAAGUAUGACUAAGAUUUGUAAU